AUACGUAGGGGGCGAGCGUUGUCCGGAAUUAUUGGGCGUAAAGCGCGCGCAGGUGGUUCCUUAAGUCUGAUGUGAAAGCCCCCGGCUCAACCGGGGAGGGUCAUUGGAAACUGGGGAACUUGAGUGCAGAAGAGGAUAGUGGAAUUCCAAGUGUAGCGGUGAAAUGCGUAGAGAUUUGGAGGAACACCAGUGGCGAAGGCGACUGUCUGGUCUGUAACGGACACUGAGGCGCGAAAGCGUGGGGAGCAAACAGGAUUAGAUACCCUGGUAGUCCACGCCGUAAACGAUGAGUGCUAAGUGUUGGGGGGUUUCCGCCCCUCAGUGCUGCAGCUAACGCAUUAAGCACUCCGCCUGGGGAGUACGGUCGCAAGACUGAAACUCAAAGGAAUUGACGGGG
rnacentral:rRNA from 1 species